rnacentral:tRNA from 1 species
GAAAUAUUUUAUAUUAAGCUUCUAACUUAAUAAAAAGCAAAAUUUGUUUAUAUUUCU